rnacentral:tRNA from 1 species
GCCUCAGUAGCUUAUCUAACAAAGCACUGGCCUUGUAAACCAAAGAUUGGGCGAGCCAGCCCCUGAGACA